rnacentral:rRNA from 1 species
GAUGAACGCUGGCGGCGUGCCUAAUACAUGCAAGUCGAGCGAAUGGAUUGAGAGCUUGCUCUUAUGAAGUUAGCGGCGGACGGGUGAGUAACACGUGGGUAACCUGCCCAUAAGACUGGGAUAACUCCGGGAAACCGGGGCUAAUACCGGAUAACAUUUUGAACCGCAUGGUUCGAAAUUGAAAGGCGGCUUCGGCUGUCACUUAUGGAUGGACCCGCGUCGCAUUAGCUAGUUGGUGAGGUAACGGCUCACCAAGGCAACGAUGCGUAGCCGACCUGAGAGGGUGAUGGGCCACACUGGGACUGAGACACGGCCCAGACUCCUACGGGAGGCAGCAGUAGGGAAUCUUCCGCAAUGGACGAAAGUCUGACGGAGCAACGCCGCGUGAGUGAUGAAGGCUUUCGGGUCGUAAAACUCUGUUGUUGGGGAAGAACAAGUGCUAGUUGAAUAAGCUGGCGCCUUGACGGUACCUAACCAGAAAGCCACGGCUAACUACGUGCCAGCCGCCGCGGUAA